CUGCACCUGAAACGGGACAACAACAUGUACGAUGUAAACACCGAAUCUGCACAAAGCGCCGACCAUUCGCUUCCUCCUCUCUGCUGGCCUGGCCUGGGAAGCUUAUCUCAGCUUGACGCGGGCUUGUAAUGGAAAGGUUACAGCAACACGCUAAUGGAAUUCCUUUGGCGUAAUUACAACAGUCAUCGAGUCGCACCACAUAGCGUAAAAUCGACCUUACCACUAACCGUGGACAAGCGCACUAAUUUGAGACUCCGGGGUUACGGGCGGCAGAAUGGCGCCUUGCCCGUCUUAUCAAAUCUGACCUAGUUUUUAGGCUUCGAGAAAAUCCUGAGCCAAGAAACGCCGGAAGAUUACGUCGAUAAGCCGUCAUCUAGAAGCCACGCCGCAUACAAUAGGAAAUGACUGGCGCGGUUUGCGGUGCAGCUAAGCAGUAUUAAGCUUAUUAUAUAGUCUUCAAAUAUUGUUAAGGUAACACCAGUAUAGAUAGGAACAUCGUUAUCGUAAGGGAAAUGACUAUCGAUGUUUACGGCAUAGCUAAGCCGAUGUAAGGGCCGCUCAUCCCUUGUAUACUUCAUGCAAAAAGUGGUCCAUUAUUCAGAGUAGCGACCGGGUGGUCAUAUAGUCGGCGCCAUCGCCGUUAAGGGGUGGUAGCUGCGGUUACAUCUCGCUCUUGGAGCACAUGAGUUAUGAUAAGUCCCCUCAACGAUCGCAUGUGGGCACCAUAUGCCUGAUUUGGAAUCAUGUCUUUGGUAGGAAAGUUAAAGAAAGCGUGGUAGAUUUUUUUUGUUCUUGCCUUUCAACAUGGCAUACAGAAAAGCCACAUACCGACAGAAAACAGUAAUCCAUAGUUUGUUGUAACGUUAUCUAUUCUUCCAACCACAAAACACAACACACCGUUUGCGGUGGAGUUGGUCACACUGAGAGCUGUACAACAAUGUGAAUAUGGACGACAAUAGAAAACACAUGCAGCAAAGCACAAUAUUCCACAUACAAUAGAAUGCAAUUUGAGUAUAACUGAUGCCUUUACUCCGUGACCACUAUCACCCUCAAACACCCCCUUCCCUCCGGCAUAGCAAGGUAGUUAUGUCAGCCGAUAGGGACUCUACGUCGAUCAAUCCCCAUCUCUUUAGGGUGCGCCCCGACAAUUGGGUGUGGCCCUUUCUUUGUCCACUCUUGUCGCUUAUGUUUUUAAAUGUAUUCAUUGGGUGCUAGUAAAAAGGCUGACCUCAACAAUAAUCAUCCAUGGAAGAACAAGGUAAACCCAUUGUGACUCAAUGCCUUAUCCACAUUGUAUCAUUUUCAUACUACGCAUACUUGCAGAGCAUAUAGCGUAUAGUAAAAUCUUUAAUACUAAGCAAACAGGCAGAACAUAUAUAGCGCAUAGUGAAAGUAUUAUUGAUUCAAUAUCUCCGGCAUAGUUCAUCAACAGUAAAUUCAUAUAUUGUAUGUAAAUUUUCAUUUUGCCGUUUUUUAACACCCAACAAUGUAAAACCGUGAAAUCCAAAAAAAUAUUAAAAAACAUUUUGAAAC